UCUACGAGUUAUGAAAGUUCU
ensembl:piRNA 21ur-14983 ncRNA